CCUUUCAGACGAACUGGUUGUUUGGGGCCUCUCGCCCGGUCGCUGCCCUGGUGACGCGACUUUGAGGGCUGGGAAGUCCGCAAAGUUUAAGCACACACGCUGACAGGCCGGGAGAUAAAUCCCCGCGCUGAUUAGAGCUGCGCUGCCCGGCUGUCAUAAAAAACAAAAGCUCGCGUUUCCCCGCGCCAGCCCGCCCGGCCCCUCUCGAGAUGAAUUUAUUUCCCCGGGAUCUUGUCCCGGACCACUUGUCCAUGGACGGAAACAUUUGCAGCCGACUUGCAGCUAUGGGAGGACCCGUCUAGAAAUCUCAGGGCUCUCUAAGCAAAGCUGGGGAGAGAGAGCUUUCCGCGUGAUGUUCUGGAGCGUGAGUUGGGAAGAACAUGACCGAUUUUAAGUCGUCCGCAAACAGACACUCAGAGGAGGAAAAUCUCAGGAGCGUCAUUGACGGAGGAACCCAUGCUGGGGGCCAUGGCGUUGGUGUGAGCUGUGUGCGGGUACUGAUGCGAAUGCAGAGGAGGCCCGUGGUUCAGGUGGUGGACCGGCUGCAUGGACCUGGCCGCAUGCGGGUCCC